AGUGAGGUUCCAAGCCCAUGUGCCAUUACCGUACUUCUGAUCAGAUUUAUUUGGGAUCAUUCUCAACGUGACACUCAAGUAAGAGCGACAUUGGAAACACUUAGAAUAUUCAGUUUUAGGAUAGAAAGGAUUCAUGGAGUCUGUACACUUUUGAAAAAAAAAAAAAAAAAACGCUCACUGUGUUACCUAACAAAUCCAGCAUUCACUGAUUUUUAAACUUCCUUUUACCUCCUGCCCUUCCAACGUCUUUACAGAGAGAAGUUUAGACCUAACUUCUGUUUCACCACCACGUAGUCUGAGGAUCAUCUGUGGUUUCUUUUUUGUUAUCAAGAUGCAGCUCCUAAGAUUAUCAUUAUGUUAAUAAGUCCAUAAACUUUUUUCGCCUUUAAUAACUAAGGAAACAAUACUAGUGUUGAUGCAGAUAUUAUAAGGGAGUAAUUUCAUGCAAUAAACAUGUACUGUAAGUUUCCUUCCUCAUUUUGGGGCAUAACCAACUAAAAGAAGAAAAAAAAAAACACUUCCUUUUUGUGGACAUCUACAGAUGUUUAGGAUUGCCAGAAGCAAAUCCCAGGAAUAAGAUGAGUAUUUUCAUUGCAUCUUAAAUGUAAAACCUUCCUUUGGGAGUUCACUGUGUCCUGUGGUUAAGUGGAUGUGCUUAAUCAUCCUGGAAAUUCUGAUCAGUCGAAAUAAAAAAAAAUCUUGAUGCAAUAACAGUGGUUUUGCCACUCCUGGUUGUUCGAGGUGGAUCUGUCCCAGGUCGGUCGGGGUCUUACUCAGUGUGCGUUGCCACCAGCUGUUCACAGGUAGAGCAGAAAUUCUCUUUAAACCAGCAAGUUUCUGCUUUUUAUUUUUAGAACAAAUCAUCAGGGAAAUGAAGAGAGGAUGCUUUUGCUUUGGGUUGUGGUCAAGAACUGAUUAAAUAAUUUAGUGUCUCUGGCACACACUGAAAACCAUAGACUUCAGUUGUGGUCUCGGUGGCAUAUUUGUUUGCUUAGGUUUUAUUACAUUUGUUAUCGCAGAUGUUCAGUUGAGCAAAUAGUUUGAUUCCUUUCUGUGAUUUUUUUUUUUUUUUUUAUGUUUUGGGGGGAAAAUUCGAGCUUUUACCUGCAGUGUUUGAGAACUCGGCAUCCUUGUUUUCUUCAAAUACCGAUUAAAAUAAAAUGCUGUAAAACGUGUCGUGAAACAUUGUAAUUACCUUCCCAUGUCUUUGUUGUACUUGUGCCAAGUGUUUUCACAUUCCUUUGUCCGGAGGAAAAUCUUUGCUUUCAUUUUGAUUAUGUUGCUUAUCUCGGAAUCAAAUAGGUUUUGAUAUUUUUCUCUUGGAAGAUUUUAUAUCUUUUUGGGAAUAUGUAAUAUAAGAUCUCUAAUAAAAGAUAAACCUUACCACG
rnacentral:lncRNA from 1 species